ACCCACUUAAAGUGAAGGUUUAUUUUCAUUUCAUGUUUGUGCUGCACUUAAGGUAUAGAUGUUGCAGUUCUUGAAAUUUCCUGUAGAGGGCGCUUUAAGAUAGUCUGAGCCACCUGGGAGAACUGGUCCAAACCAGUUUUAGAAAAGAAAAAAAAAAACAACGAACGAAACCACUUGCAGCUUAGCUUUGAAUUUACUACUCUUCACAGCAUUGAAUUUAUUGACCUAGAGUACGGAUUUACAGAUAUUAAGACUAGAACUGAGCCAUAUUUUACUUCUUUCACUCUGUAAAGGUGAAAUUAUUCAUCAAUGUCUUUUGCUGUCGAUUAUUUCCCCUUUUAAUGAGCAACUCCGAUUGGUUUUUUUUUCUUGCAUUGAGUUUGGAUCUUUCAAGCACGCACGCGCGUCAGACUGUGAGUGAGACCAGAACGGCGAGCCAGGACCACGUGUUGAAAGCCGUCUGCCCUGCGUGUUGUUCCUUCACGGACAGGGACAGAACAGGAGAAACAGAUAAGCUUUUCUUUACGAACUGAUUGAGAUUCAUCCCCAAGAAAAGAAAAGAAAAGAAGCGGCAUACACGCAUAUUCACAUAAAAGCUGCAGUCUUGAGCUUCAGAUUUUAAUUCAGAGACAGUGACCCUGAAGAGCUCUUAAGUUUUUUUUUGGGCCCAUUUUCUUUAUUUUUUUUGUUUGUGUAACUAUUUGUUUCCUUGUUUUGUAUAUGCCUGUUGAGCUAACAAUAUAUUCAUUUUUGUUAUUUUCUUCCAA